AUACGGAGGGUGCAAGCGUUAUUCGGAAUCACUGGACGUAAAGGACGCGUAGGCGGGUUGGCAAGUCAGAUGUGAAAUCCUACAGCUUAACUGUAGAACUGCAUUUGAAACUGCUAACCUAGAGUAUGGGAGGGGGAGAUGGAAUUAGUGGUGUAGGGGUAAAAUCCGUAGAUAUCACUAGGAAUACCGAAAGCGAAGGCGAUCUCCUGGAACAUAACUGACGCUAAGGCGUGAAAGCGUGGGGAGCAAACAGGAUUAGAUACCCUAGUAGUCC
rnacentral:rRNA from 1 species